rnacentral:rRNA from 1 species
AGUUUGAUUCUGGCUCAGAUUGAACGCUGGCGGACAGCACACGCAUGCAAGUCGAACGCCAGCACGGACUUCGGUCUGGUGGCGAGUGGCGAACGGGUGAGUAAUGUAUCGGAACGUGCCUAGUGGCGGGGAUAACUACGCGAAAGCGUAGCUAAUACCGCAUACGCCCUUCGAAGGAAAAGCGGGGACCCUUCGGGCCUCGCACUAUUAGAGCGGCCGAUAUCGGAUUGGCUAGUUGGUGGGGUAACGGCUCACCAAGGCGACGAUCCGUAGCUGGUUUGAGAGGACGACCAGCCACACUGGGACUGGAGACACGGCCCAGACUCCUACAGAGGAGGCAGCAGUGAAAUUUUGGACAAUGGAAACCCUGAUCCAGCCAUCCGCGUGUGCGAUGAAGGCCUUCGGGUUGUAAAGCACUUUUGGCGGGAAAGAAACGGCACGGGAUAAUACCCCGUGCAACUGACAGUACCUGCAGAAUAAAACUCCAUUGCGAUGCCAGCAACCGCGGUAAUACGUAGGGUGCAAGCGUUAAUCGGAAUUACUGGGCGUAAAGCGUGCGCAGGCGUUCCGGAAGAAAGAUGUGAAAUCCCAGAGCUUAACUGCGAUUCAUUUUUAACUACCGAGCUAGAGUGUGUCAGAGGGAGGUGGAAUUCCGCGUGUAGCAGUGAAAUGCGUAGAUAUGCGGAGGAACACCGAUGGCAGGCAACCUCACAGGAUAACACUGACGGCAUGCACGAAAGCGUGGGGAGCAAACAGGAUUAGAUACCCUGGUAGUCCACGCCCUAAACGAUGUCAACUAGCUGUUGGGGCCUUCGGGCCUUGUGGCGCAGCUAACGCGUGAAGUUGACCGCCUGGAAAUACGGUCACAAGAUUAAAACUCAAAGGAAUUGACGGGGACCCGCACAAGCGGUGGAUGAUGUGGAUUAAUUCGAUGCAACGCGAAAAACCUUACCUACCCUUGACAUGUCUGGAAUCGAAGAGAUUUGGGAGUGCUCGCAAGAGAACCGGAACACAGGUGCUGCAUGGCUGUCGUCAGCUCGUGUCGUGAGAUGUUGGGUUAAGUCCCGCAACGAGCGCAACCCUUGUCAUUAGUUGCUACGAAAGGGCACUCUAAAUGCGGGCGCUGCCGGUGACUCAAACCGGAGGAAGGGUAGGGGAUGACGUCGAUCCUCAUGGCCAUAUGGUGGGAACCACACGUCAUACAAUGGUCAGGGACAGAGGGUCGCCAACCCACCAGGGGCCAAUCCCAGAAACCCGAUCGUAGUCCGGAUCCGCAGUCUGCAACUCGACUGCGUGAAGUCGGAAUCACUAGUAAUCGCGAAUCAGCAUGUCGCCAGUGGAAUACGUUCCCGGGUCUUGUACACCGCCCGUCACACCAUGGGAGUGGGUUUUACCAGAAGUAGUUAGCCUAACCGUAAGGAGGGCGAUUACCACGGUAGGAUUCAUGACUGGGGUGAAGUCGUAACAGGUAA